rnacentral:rRNA from 1 species
CCAGGCGUCGAGCGGCGGACGGGUGAGUAAUGCAUAGGAAUCUGCCCGGUAGUGGGGGAUAACCUGGGGAAACCCAGGCUAAUACCGCAUACGUCCUACGGGAGAAAGCAGGGGAUCUUCGGACCUUGCGCUAUCGGAUGAGCCUAUGUCGGAUUAGCUUGUUGGUGAGGUAAUGGCUCACCAAGGCGACGAUCCGUAGCUGGUCUGAGAGGAUGAUCAGCCACAUCGGGACUGAGACACGGCCCGAACUCCUACGGGAGGCAGCAGUGGGGAAUAUUGGACAAUGGGCGAAAGCCUGAUCCAGCCAUGCCGCGUGUGUGAAGAAGGCUUUCGGGUUGUAAAGCACUUUCAGUGAGGAAGAAGGCCUUGGGGCUAAUACCCCCGAGGAAGGACAUCACUCACAGAAGAAGCACCGGCUAACUCCGUGCCAGCAGCCGCGGUAAUACGGAGGGUGCGAGCGUUAAUCGGAAUUACUGGGCGUAAAGCGCGCGUAGGCGGCGUGAUAAGCCGGUUGUGAAAGCCCCGGGCUCAACCUGGGAACGGCAUCCGGAACUGUCAGGCUAGAGUGCAGGAGAGGAAGGUAGAAUUCCCGGUGUAGCGGUGAAAUGCGUAGAGAUCGGGAGGAAUACCAGUGGCGAAGGCGGCCUUCUGGACUGACACUGACGCUGAGGUGCGAAAGCGUGGGUAGCAAACAGGAUUAGAUACCCUGGUAGUCCACGCCGUAAACGAUGUCGACUAGCCGUUGGGGUCC